ensembl:lncRNA
CGACAACAGUGUAUCAGUAUUGGUAUAUUAAUUUAUUGAAUUAUAAUCAGACAAGACAUAGGAAUGGAGCACUAUGCAAUGGGCACUAAUGCUAACCCUUGGAAAAGGAAAGGACUGCAUUCACACUUAGAGGAAGUUCCAUCUGGUGCAGGUGCAGUUGCAGCUGAAUCAGAGCAGUUUCCUCCGCCAUGUAAAUAUCUGUGGUGCGUCGAGGUAUCUAAGAGACUGAAAGCAGAACAUACUGUAGCUGAUUUUUUGGCUCAGAAUCAGGAUCAAAUCGGUUCAGCAGGUGAAUCUAGAUUAGGUCUGGAACCUUAAUCGGUUCCAGAUCCACUAGAACCACACGGAACCUGUGCCGGAUUCGGCAAAUAUCUGGAAAAGUCCGGCGUUCAACAGGCUCAGCAGUGUUGUGGCAGUACAUCUUAUUUCAAAUAAAUAAAAUCACAGUAAGACUAAGAUAUCAUGACCGCUACACCUUAGUACCCAGUCCGUAUGCAGCGCUUCAGAUGAGUAACUACAGCAUGAUGGUAUGACAUUAAUGCAUGUAUCAUUUCACCAUGGCAUCACUCACAGUCUCACAUUUCUAACUUAAUUUACAAUCGAUGAAUUACCUUUAAUCACACACAGACACCAGGUUACUUCAGGAAAAUAAAACAUCUGUGAUAAACUUUAAUAUAAAUAAAUGUUCUUAUCUAUGAUAAACUAUAAUAGAAUUAUCUGCGUAUAUAUAUAAAAAUAAAAUGCAUUUUACUACACUCAGCUCCCACACUUAUGGCUGCAAACGCUGGUGCGCAUUCAGCCCAGAUCGGGCCCAGACCAGGGUGAGAUCUGGCCCAGAUUAGGGUGAGAUCUGGUCGAGAUUAGGGUGAGAUCUGGGCGAGAUUAGGGUGAGAUCUGGGCGAGAUCAGGGCGAGAGCUGCACCAGGGCCAGCUGCUGACUGGACAGACUUCAUGCAGACGGACUCCUGUCAUCCUCUACUCUACAGCAUUACUUCAUCACCUCCAGCACAUCCCAUUGCACGCCUUUAACUGUGGACAUGUGAAAUCCACACUAUGGAAAAGUAACAUCACCCCCAGCACCAGCAUACACGGCAUAUAUAAUCUAUUCCUGUUCUCUAUGGCCCAUUCUCUGCACACAGCAAUGUCACCAUUCGGAGGUCAUGAAAAAUAUGUUGGGUAACAACUAGUAAUCUAUUCAAAGUCGAUUAAAAUAAAACAUCUAGAUCUGACGAGCUGCAGGAGAGUUUCCCACUUUGACUUUUUCGUCUCUUGCUGUUACUCUCUCUGUCUUACUGUCAUUUCUCUCUCUCACUCUUUCUCUCUCUCUCUCUCACUCUCUCUCUCUCUCUCUGUCAAUCUUUCUCUUUCUUUCCAUCUGUCUCUUCUGAGUCAGACUCCCUGCCAGUGUUUAUGGACACCUCCGACUCUGGGCUCACCACCAGUUCCUCUUCCACUUCUUCAUUUUCCUUCCCAUCUUUCUCUCCUUCUCCUUCUCCUUCACUGCUCUCCUGCGAUUUCUCUCCUCCA